rnacentral:rRNA from 1 species
CCUANGGGUGGCUGCAGUCGAGAAUCUUUUGCAAUGCUCGAAAGAGUGACAAUGCGACGCCGCGUGUGCGAUGAAGGUCUUCGGAUCGUAAAGCACUGUCAGUCGGGAUGAAGGUCUUUUCCUUUAAUAAAGGAGAAGGCUUGACAGUACCGGCAGAGGAAGCCACGGCUAACUCCGUGCCAGCAGCCGCGGUAAUACGGAGGUGGCAAGCGUUACUCGGAUUGAUUGGGUGUAAAGGGCGUGUAGGUGGUAAAUCAAGUCGAAUGUGAAAUCCCUUGGCUCAACCAAGGAACUGCAUUCGAAACUAAUUUGCUUGAGCGACAGAGAGGUAAGUGGAAUUCCCGGUGUAACAGUGAAAUGUGUAGAUAUCGGGAGGAACACCAGUGGCGAAGGCGACUUACUGGAUGUCUGCUGACACUGAAACGCGAGAGCUAGGGGAGCAAACAGGAUUAGAUACCCCANUANUC